rnacentral:rRNA from 1 species
UACGUAGGCAGCAAGCGUUGUUCGGAGUUACUGGGCGUAAAGGGUGCGUAGGCGGUCCUGUAAGUAUGGUGUGAAAUCUCCCGGCUUAACUGGGAGGGUGCGCUAUAGACUGCGGGACUAGAGGGUGGGAGAGGAAAGUGGAAUUCCUGGUGUAGCGGUGAAAUGCGUAGAUAUCAGGAGGAACACCUGUGGUGUAGACAGCUUACUGGACCAUUUCUGACGCUGAGACACGAAGGCGUGGGUAGCAAACAGG